UACGUAGGCAGCGAGCGUUGUUCGGAAUUACUGGGCGUAAAGAGUGUGUAGGCGGUGUUCCCAGUCUGUUGUGAAAUCUCCCGGCUUAACUGGGAGGGUGCAGCGGAAACUAGAAUGCUAGAGGGUGGGAGAGGGUAAGGCGGAAUUCCGUGGUGUAGCGGUGAAAUGCGUAGAUAUCAGGAGGAACACCUGUGGUGUAGACAGCUUACUGGACCACUUCUGACGCUGAGACACGAAAGCGUGGGUAGCAAACAGG
rnacentral:rRNA from 1 species